rnacentral:rRNA from 1 species
GAUGAACGCUGGCGGCGUGCUUAACACAUGCAAGUCGAACGGAAAGGCCCACGUUUGCUUGGGUAUUCGAGUGGCGAACGGGUGAGUAACACGUGGGUGAUCUGCCCUGUACUUCGGGAUAAGCCUUGGAAACUGGGUCUAAUACCGGUUAGGACCACUUCUUGGAUGUUGUGGUGGAAAGUUUUUUCGGUGUGGGAUGAGCUCGCGGGCUAUCGGCUUGUUGGUGGGGUCAUGGCGUAGCGAGGCGUCGACGGGUAGCCGGCCUGAGAGGGUGUACGGCCACAUUGGGACAGAGAUACGGCCCAGACUCCUGCGGGAGGCAGCAGUGGGGAAUAGUGCACAAGGGGCGCAAGCCUGAUGCAGCGACGCCGCGUGGGGGAUGAGGGCCUUCGGGUUGUAAACGCCUUUCGCUAGGGACGAAGCGGUUUGUGACGGUACCUGGAGAAGAAGCACCGGCUAACUACGUG